UACGUAGGGUCCGAGCGUUGUCCGGAAUUACUGGGCGUAAAGAGCUCGUAGGUGGUUUGUCGCGUUGUUCGUGAAAACUCACAGCUCAACUGUGGGCGUGCGGGCGAUACGGGCAGACUAGAGUACUGCAGGGGAGACUGGAAUUCCUGGUGUAGCGGUGGAAUGCGCAGAUAUCAGGAGGAACACCGGUGGCGAAGGCGGCGACCUGGGUAGAUACUGACGCUGAGGUGCGAAAGCGUGGGGGAGCAAACAGG
rnacentral:rRNA from 1 species